rnacentral:rRNA from 1 species
CGCGAAURGCUCAUUACAACAGCUAUAAUCUACCAGUUGGUUUUCCUAUAUGGAUAACUGCGUUAAUUCGGGAGCUAAUACAUGCAAAAGGGUUGAGUUCGAAAGGGAUUCAACUGUAUUUAUUGGUGCAAAACCAGUCGUUUAGACUGUUAAGCUUACUCUGAAUAAACACGCUUAUCGCAUGCUCUUGUAGCGGCGAAACUUCUGUCGAGUAUCUGCCCUAUCAACUGUCGUUGGUAAUGUAUUGGAUUACCAUGGUGUUAACGGGUAACGGAGAAUCAGGGUUUGACUCCGGAGAGGGAGCCUUAGAAACGGCUACCAUGUCUAAGGAAAGCAGCAGGCACGAAAAUUACCCAAUGUCAAAAGGAUGAGGUAGUGACGAGAAAUAACGAGACCGUUCUCAUUGAGGUCGGUCAUUGGAAUGAGUAAAAUCCAGACACUUUAACGAGUAUCUACGAGAGGGCAAGUCUGGUGCCAGCAGCCGCGGUAAUUCCAGCUCUCGUAAGGUAUAGAAUUAUUGCUGUGGUUAAAAAGUUCGUAGUUGGAUUGUUAAGUUGGUACGGGUCGACCGUUAGCGGUUUGUACUCGUUGCCUUCAAUUUGUGCGUUUGUGCAUUGUUCGUUUUCGGAUGGGCAUUGUGCAUCGUACAGGAUUACUUUGAACGGUUCAAGUGCUUAAAGCACGUCUUAUGACUGAAUAUCGGUGCAUGGAAUAAUGGAACAAGGCUUCGGCCGGGUUUUAUUGGUUUUGACGGCUGAAACAAUGGUUAACAGGAACAGUCGGGGGCAUUCGUAUCGCUACGCGAGAGGUGAAAUUCGUGGACCGUAGCGAGACGCCCAAAAGCGAAGGCACUUGCCAAGGGUGUUUUCAUUAAUCAAGAACGAAAGUCAGAGGUUCGAAGGCGAUCAGAUACCGCCC